UGAUGGAGAUAACGGCGGGGGCGGACGUCCCCAGCAUCAAAUUUUGUUGUUGAAUAAAAUGGAGGUUUAUAAAGCGCUGCAUUUUUUAUGUAAUCAAAAUGAAAUGUGGAUAGAGAAAGCAAUGUCAGGAAGGACGGACGGCGUAAUGAGACAGGCGUUUGAAGCCGCCGGCGCCGCGCUAACCUCAGCCAUGCUAGCUUAACGUGUGUGCGGCUACUGUUAGCCAGCUGGGAUGCUGUAAAUAGCUUUAAUGGCGCUCUUAGGUUAAGGCCAACGAUGCUCCACAGGCCUGUUUAAAUCUCCGAAACAGCUUUCCUGCUGCGGAUUGUUCUGGUGAUGACGAGGCGGAUGUAAAAGUCGAGAAAGUAAAGUCAGGGAGGAGACAUUAGACCAGAGGCCAGCAGCAGGGACGAUGAUGCAGGGUCUUCUCAGGUAAGGAAGGAUUACAACUUGCUGAGAAAAAGAUAUCUGUUGCAGGGAGAAACCAAAUGGGUAUCAGGACAGGAUUUUUAGAUAUUUCAGAAUUAUUCUCAUGUUCACACUCAAAAAUAGUUUUUGUCUGUAUAGCCAGCACAGACAGCAUACUGCUUCUCUUACAGACUGUUAACUUUCUCACACAUCAUUGUCUGAUUUAAAGAAAUUGACUUCAAUAGAUUUCUGCAAAGUGUGCAGAAAUGACGUUGUAUAGUCUUUGCAGUAUUGAUGCUAAUCUGAGGAUCGUUACUCAGAAUUUUCUAGUGGCUCGCACUCAUUAUUCAUGUCAAUGUUUACGUCAGUAUUCUUUUGUAUUAAACAUAUCUUUUGAAAGGUUACCUGAAUAAAAAGCCUGUUUACUGCCCCCCCUGAAAAUAAGCCAUAGCUAAAUUCCUUUGGAGCAAAGUCUGCUGAAAGAUUGGUUUGAUAGACAAACAAAUUAAUUUGUUGUAGUUUUCUGCUGUGACACAUUUUCUAAAAUAACACAUUUCCUGAGGAAAUCGUCGUUGGUUUCUGUCGUUGUGUAACUAACUUUCUCAAGGUUUUUUCCUCAGAGAAAUGUGCAGACAGAAACCGUGAGACAGAACCCAAACAUUAUCCAGUUGACUAACCAGCACAAAACACUAACAAUGUGUUAAGUUUAUGCUGCAGUUGUAUGCUUUUCUCCUU